rnacentral:rRNA from 1 species
UACGUAGGGUGCAAGCGUUAAUCGGAAUUACUGGGCGUAAAGCGUGCGCAGGCGGUUAUGUAAGACAGUUGUGAAAUCCCCGGGCUCAACCUGGGAAUUGCAUUCGAGACUGCAUUGCUGGAGUACGGAAGAGGAGAGUGGAAUUCCUGGUGUAGCGGUGAAAUGCGCAGAUAUCAGGAAGAACACCCGUGGCGAAGGCGGCUCUCUGGGACGGUACUGACGCUGAGGAGCGAAAGCGUGGGUAGCGAACAGG